rnacentral:rRNA from 1 species
CUAAUUUCUUAGUUCCCAGAUUAAUAUAAAUAAUGAAAUUUAACGGAUUUGGCGGCAAAGCAGCCUUUUAGAGGAACCUGCCCUUUAAUCGAUGGUCCACGAGUCACUGUACUUUCUCUUGUUUUCAGUUUGUAUACCGCUGUUGUCAGUUAGUUUCUUUAGAAAUCUAUCAAUAAUAUAAAAAGUAUUAACUUCAAGUAAAGGUGCAGCUAAUGAGGAAGUCUGAGGUGGGUUACAUUUGAAUUGAGCAAGCACGAAAUUUAAAAUGAAAAUUUUUAUUGAAGGUGGAUUUAAAAGUAAAAUUUAGGUGAUUUGAUGAUAGGAAAUGCUUUGUGUACAAACCGCCCGUC